UUUAAUUCUAAUAAGUAAAUUAUUUUUGAAGUUGUGGUGGACUCUUCACAUCUUUUUCUCUUUUUACUGCCCCUCUAUAUCAAAUCUCUGCCCCUAGUUGAAUUAUUCAUGGAUGCCGAACUUGACUGGUUUAAUAUGACAUUUAUCAUCAUGUUGCUACUCAUUAGGAGGCUUUGGUGAUUUGUGGGACGAACUAGAACUGCUGCAACAUGGAAAGAACAAUGCUUUAUUCAACUAUUUUUAAUGGCAUGGCAUGUUUUGAUAGUCUGCUGUUUCACAGGUAACCAAUUGCAGCUGUUUGAUUCAUAGCAGCUAGUCUGAGACUCUCAUAAUUCCUGAUUUUUUUUUUCUUUCUUUCUUCCCUCUCCCUUGUUCAUUCCAAAGGGGAAAGCGGCAUCACUCCUAGAUUUAUAUGAUCAGGCUGUGAUGAUUCAUGAGACAAGGGUUAUCUACAUUUUAAAACACAAAAACAGCUAUUUUAAAUGGUAAGGAAACCUUGGAUGAUCAGUUCUAUUCAUCAUGCAAGUGUUUUCAGCCAUUUUAUUUAGUUUACGGGGAACCAAACAUAUACAUAAUGCUGGUCAAAAUUGUGAAUGUGAACCUCUUCUCUUCCGGUACUUCCUUUCCUCACUUUUGUUGCAGGAUUUUCGUUUUCUGGGUAUUCUAAACAUGUUUUCUAUGUUUCUAUUCUCAUGAUUUGUUCUAGAGGUUCCUCAAGACUUUAUAGCCUAUGGACAUGGAUGAAGAAUCUGGAUUUUGGGAGCCCAUAUUCUCAAAUUUCCCAUUUUAGUUGGCAAAAGUUUAGGGACUGGUUACUCGUGAUUAGAGUCUAUGUAAUAUUUUAGCACUUUAGAAAUUUUGUUUUGAUAUUUCUUGUUGUGUUUCCUUGACUCAUCCUUUCGGUAGAAUUAUUUUUCUUUGCACAUCACAACGGUUUUGGUCUUUUCUACAUUCCUUCCCUCCAUUUCUCAUUUUUCCCAUGGCAGAAGAUAAUUUGAGAGAAUCUCCAAUGCUAUCCCUGACACCUCCAAUGAACAUUCCAUUUGCAAGAGCUCUACAAAGUAUCAAUGAGGUGACAUAUUCUGCUUUCCUUAUUUUUAAUUUAAAUUACUUAGUGGCUGGUGGCUUUAGGAGAUUCUUCAAGUUGUUUUUUGUUAUUGUUCUCUUUUUAAUCAUCUUCUAUGUAGCCUCUGCAGGAGCUCACUGAGAGUUCUUCAAUGGUGCUAGUGUUAAAAGUUUUUGUUGAUCAUUGAUGAUGCUCCUAACCUAUUCAGUAUUGCUGUUUAAUUCCUUGGCUCCUUACCUACGUCUAGUACAACCAUCCAUGAAUAAAUCAAUAAAAAUGUAAAACUGUAUUCUUUAUAAUUGGAACAAUCUUUUUUUCUGGAGGCAACUAUUGCAGCCUAUUGGAGACCCUAUGUGAUAUCUAUUAAAUGGGCAAUUUAAGCCUCCAUCCUACUCCUUUAACUCAAGACACCUUUUCUUUUCGAACAUUCAUAUUCUUUUCUUUGUAUUCCUAAUAUUAUACUUCAUUUUUAGCUUGACAACUUAUGAAUUUAUAUAUAUCAAGGCCAUUUCCUCCUUCUGGAUUCUUCUUUCCAUUGGUGGUCAUAGUGAUGGUAGUGGUUUGAAGGGUUGCCCUCUCUCCUCUUGAACUGAUGAUUCACCAAUAACUACAUGAGACUUUUUCUUGGCAGAAGUGGUAUCUGUUUCCUUUUUCUCUUUUAUCAUUUCUAAAUUUUAAAAGCAGAGGUGAUUUCUCUUGGAUGGAUGAGGCUUGUUGGUUAUUCUUUGUGAUGGUCAAAUAAAUGACAGUAAUUUUUCCCCCAUCUAUGUGAGGCAAUAUUAUGGUUUUAUAAGAGUGAUUUGCAUGGUUUUACUACUUGCAUUUGAUACUUUUAUUAUACAUUAUCUAAUUUAUCUUUUGGAAUAAUGCUCCAUCCCCCAGCCACCUCAUCAAAAUAAAGAAAAAACACUUAAGCAACAAUAUUCUUUCGUAAUUUAUCCAGUUGAUAUACUGGUUACUGUUUUGAAUAUAUUUUAGAAAGCUUGGGAUUCCCAUUAUGAAAAAGUUUUUGUUUAAUACAUAACUAUAUAAAUGGAUGCAUGCAUUUUACAUUGUAUAUGUAACUAUCCAUGCAUAUACACAUGAAAGAAACAUUUCAUUUACAUGCAUAUAUGCAUGCAGCCAUCCAAAAAUUUAUGCACACACUACCGCUUGGCAUGUCUGAUUUGUCUAGUUUAUUGAAGACUCGAGAAGGAGCAUUUGAUGGAUGGUUGUAAUCCAUCAAUCAUGAUUUUUGGAGUUUUUCUGAUAAACAUACUAGUUGGUCUAUGUACUGAAAUUUCUUUGUCUUUCAUUAGUUUGAGAGAUCAUCACUAGCUAUCUGGCAUAUCCGAAAGAAGAGUUAUGGGUUGGAUAGCAUGUAGGGAGCAGAAUGAAUAGUAUGGUGCUUGGGUGGUGUAAAGUUUCAGGUGCAAGAAGGUUUUCUUGAGAUGAGGUGACAUCAAAGGGAAGGUGAAGGGUGGAGGAAAUUGGGGGAAAAUGGAAUCAUCUCAUAUGGCUGUUAAUAGUUCAUUGGAGAUGGAGGCAUGGAUAACAUGGAGAUCAGGAAAAUUUAUUAGCAUAUAAGAGACUAUUAAUGGUGGUGCAACAGAGCUAUAUGGGAGUAUGAGCUGCAGGGAAUGGUGUGUCAAAUGGAUUGAAUUGAAGGAUAUAUCCUGGAUAAAGUAUCUUUUUGUGGUAGUGUUUGGGUUCAUAGGUGAGGUUACCAGCCUAAAAUCGAUUUCUAAUUAAAGCGGCUAGAAAGAUGGUUUUAAUCGAAAUUCUGCAGUUCAUUUGUAGAAUGUGGGGGGAAAAAAAUAGAAGUUUUAAGUGUUCUCAUUUGUAAUCUGGGGAUUUUUAAGAUUGGUUAAUCAUGUAGGCUAGAUUAAAGUACUAUGCAAAACCUGGGGUCUAAGUAGUAUAGUUAAGGGCAAAUGGCCAAAAUCUGACAUUCAAAGGGUUGACAAAUGAUUGGAAUUCAUGUAGGUUCACUUAGAGUUUGGGAGAGAAUGAAACAAGUGUUAAUUUAGGGUCAAAUUGUUGGAAAUUUUCUUAUAAAUAGAUUAUAGGGAGUCCAUUUGAUGACAGUUUGAACAACAUGCUUAUUGGUCAACCCUACAUGGGUAGGGUCGAGAGAAUGUUAAGGCAUAGAAUAGGUGUAUUGAUUUGGGCAAAGUGGUAAAGUUAUGUUGGAAGGUUAAUCCUAAAUGCGAGUUCAAUGGGCUAGCUAAGCUUAAGGGUUGGGCCAUGUAGGCUAAGAUCAAUGGUAGGUUCUAUGCCUGGAGCUAAAUAAGGUGAGUGGUGAAAAAUAUCAUCUGGUUUUGCUGCGAACUCUUUGUUUUCUCUUCUCAUCUUCACACGUGCAACAAAAUCAAGUUUAUCAAAUAGUGUGUCCACUUUUUUCCUUCUUAACUUUCAUCUCUUACUCUCCUCAAUUGCUCCUCUAUUUUUUGAUACCUUUGUGGAAGCUGCACUUGAUCCACAAAGUUAAAGCAGAGGGAGAAGCAGCAGCAGUAGUCUAACAAGCUGCAACAAUAGAACACCAGAUUUUCAGAUUUGUUCAAUACCAUUCAGGUCAGGCAAGGGUUCAGUUGUGCAAAGAAAAGAAGGCAUUGGUGAGAUGUCAAGAAAAGGGAAUUCUUGAUUCUUGCUAGAGACAAAAAUCUAUGAAUCCAAAUUUUUUAAAACAUAGAGCAGUGGCUGGUCAUCAACCUGUUUGUUCUUUAUGUUAUUUUUGAAUUUUCUCAAGCAAAGGAUCUGUUAGUUUAUAUUUAGAUGUCAAGAAAAUGAGAACAUAAGGAUGGGUGAUCAGUCCCUCCGAAGUAUCUGCAAUUUGUGAAGUUCUCUUGACCGUUUUCAAACAUACACAUCUGGUUGAUUA